rnacentral:lncRNA from 1 species
UUGAAGAAACAGUAGCUGAAAAUGUCCCAAAUUGGAUAAAAAUUAUGAAUAUAAACAUGUAAGAAUCUCAGUGAACUCCAGGAAAGAUGAACUCAAAGAGACUCAGACUGAGAUACAAAAGCAGCAGGACAGAAGCAAAUCCUCACACAUGAGGCAUCCUCAAUAAGAUUUUUGGCAGAUUUCUCAUGAGAUAUUUUGGAGGCCAGAAGGCAGUGGCCAAUAUAUUCAAAGUGUUCCAGGGAAAGCUUUGUGAACCAGAAUCCUAUAUCUGGCAAAACUGUCCUCCAAAAGUGAGGGGAAAAUUAAGACAUUCUCCAAUAAACAAAGGCUGAAGGAAUUUUUGCUCUCUAGACCUGAUCUGCAAGAAAUGCCCAGGGGAGCCCUGUAGUAUGAAAUGAAAGGACACUAGACAGGAACAUGAAACCAUAUAGAGAAAUAGAAAUCUCAAUAAAAGUAAAUACAUGGGCAGUUACAAAAGCUGGUUAUACUGUCAAUGGUUUGUAACUGCAUAUUUCGUUUUUGACAUGAUUUCAGAGCCUAAUACAUUUACGGAAAACAAACAAACAAACAAUUAUUAGCCCAAAAUCUAGUAUUAUUGUAACUUUGGUUCGUAACUCCAAGUUUUAUUUUUGAUAUAAUUUGAGACCAAAGAAUUUGAAAGGAUUAUUAGUUUAUGUUUGGAGGCACACAGGGUAUAAAGAUGUGAUUCUGUGGCAUCAACCACCAAAAGGGGAUGUAAAGGAGCAGAGAUUUUGUAUUUUGAAGUUAACCUGUGAUAAAUUCAAAUUAGAGUGUUGUAGUUUGGGAUAUUAAACGUACAUCCCGUGGUACUCACAGAGAAAAGGGCUGGAGAAUAUAAACAAAAGGAAGUGAGAAAAGAAUGUAAAUGUUUUACUACAAAAAAUCACCUAAACAAAACUAAGAUAGUCACGCAGGAAAUGAGGGACAAAAUAGCUGUGGGGCGUGUAGAAAACACAGAGCAAGAUGACAAAAGCAGGUCCUUUCUUGUUAGGAAUUACUUUAUUUCUUUGGCCACGCCUGGGCAUGUGGAAGUUCCCAGGCCAGGGACUGAGCCUGUGCCACAGCAGUAAUCAGAGCCAUAGCAGGGACAAUGCUGGAUCCUUAACCUGCUGAGCCGCCAGAGAAGUCCAGGAAUUACUUUAAAUGUAAGAGGAUUAAGUUCUCUAAUCAAAAGACAGAGACUAGGGAGUUCUUGUUGUGGUUCAGCAGGUUAAGAACCUGACUAGUAUCCAUGAGGAUGCGGAUUUGAUCUCUGGCCUUUCUCAGUGGUUAAGGAUCUGGCAUUGCCAUGAGCCAUGGUGUACGUCACAGAUGUGGCUUGGAUCCUGCGUUGCUAUGGCCAUGGCAUUGGCUGGCAGUUGCAGCUCCAAGUUGACUCCUAGCCUGGGAACCUCCAUAUGCUGCAGGUGUGGCCCUAAAAAGAAAAAAAAAAAAAAAAAAGAGAGAGAGAGAGAGAUAGAGAUUAACAGAAUAGAUAAAAAACGCAUAAUCCAACUAUAUGCUCUCUACAAGAGACGUGACUUUAGAUCCAAAGACACAAAUAGACUGAAAGAGAAAGGAUAGAAGAAGAUAUUCCCUGGACAUAGUAACCGAAAGAGAGCAAAGGUAGCUAUCCUGACAUCAAAGUAGACUCUAAAUCAAGAGAGUUUACAGAUUGCUAGGGUACUAACAGGAGGUAAGGGUGAAAGAAAAGUCAGGCCAGAGAGCACAGAGCCUUCAACAGCAGGCGAGCGUUCUUUGCGCAGCGCGCAGCCUCCGGGCCAUCCAGCCGGAGGAGCCAUCAUCCCAGACCUGAGUGAGAAGAGUGAAUGACCGUGGAGAGGGGAACCCACGGUAUCUCAGAUUACUCAGAGAACAACAGUCCUUUCUCCACAAACAUCCUGGUAUAAAAUAGCCCCAUUAGAGCCUGCCUCUUGAGGUAUGUCUCGACAAGGAAGACAUGAUUUCGGAAAGUAUAAAACGAAAGGCGGAAGCUUGCUCAGCGCUAGCACCUACGGCCCCAACAUAAAAAACAAGCAAAUGUCCCGCUUUUGACCCAGUUGCUUUUGAUCUAAUUGUUUCUUAAGAGAACCAGCAUAGUUUGGCUGUAGAAUGAUAUAAUAAUAAUGGUGAUACUGGAGUUCCCGUCGUGGCACGGUGGUUACCGAAUCCGACUAGGAACCAUGAGGUUGCGGGUUCCAUCCCUGGCCUUGCUCAGUGGGUUAAGGAUCCGGCGUUGCCGUGAGCUGUGGUGUAGGUUGCAGACGUGGCUUCGGAUCCCGCGUUGCUGUGGCUCUGGCGUAGGCCGGUGGCUACAGCUCCGGUUCGACUCCUAGCCUGGGAACCUCCAUAUGCCACGGGAUCGGCCCUAGAAAAAGCAAAAAGACAAAUAAUAAUGAUAAUAAUGGUACUAAUAGUAAUGAAACUAAAUCAACUAUACUGCAAUUUUAAAAAGAAUCAAAAACAAACACAAAAUAAUUACAGUAACCAUUGAAGAAGCACUUGCUAUAAGCCAGGUACCAUAAGACCUUCCUUAUUCAAUACUCACAAGUCCGUGCUGGAGAUUCACUUACUGUCCUCAUUUUGCUGAUAGACGAAUUGAGUCUAAGAGAGGUCUGGGCCAGUAUGCGGCAUUACUUAGAUUAAAACACUGCCUCCUAUUUCAAAAUCACACCCUUACCCAUCGCAUUUUGUGUGCCCAAGCAGUUGUGCUUGGCAGAGAGCACCUAGCACUGCCCCUUGGGGAUGAUGAGGUGACAGGAAAAGAACCGCUUGACUUCUUGAUGCCUUGAUCUGUUCAGCAAUGAAUGGAAAUAAUAACUGCUGCCUCACCCAGCAGAGCCAUGGGAGAUAAGACCUGGCUUUUCCCUUUGAUUUGAGUGCACGAGGCAGGUAGACCACAUCAGCCCACAGCCGUGAAUGGAAAGAAGAGGCCACUUCUGUGUGGUUUUGUGGAUGGCCCGACUGCAGGUGCCUCAUCUAUACAAUGGGCAUAAUAAAAGUAGUAUCUGCCUCCUGGGCCGUCUGUAAGGAUCCAGUGGGUUCAUAGAUGUCCUAUUUAGGACAUGCUUGACCAAUAGCACUAUCUAAAGACCAGCUAUUAUCGGCAUUAAAGGUAGAAACUUGGCUACCAGGGAUCGCUGUGGCCGUAAACAGUAACUUCCAAGUGGAGACAGGAGAGAAGCCUGCACUCACCCUGGCUUCCUCGGUAGGUGUCUAUGAGGAAGACUGGCUAUAAUAUUGGCCAGUGGUAAGCAAAGCUCGAAGAUAUGACAGGGAUGGAGAAAUAAGGUCUAGAAAGUAACAACAGCUUCUAAUUUGUACCAUUUCUAUGCUCAAGCUCCCCAUCAGGAGUACACCAGCUCGGUCUUGCCUCAUCUAAUACCACGGUAGGGGUUUUGUUAUUAACUGAACUUUCACAUGCUGUAUGCGGUGCCCUAAAAAGGUAAAAAAGAAGAAGAGGGAGUUCCUGUCGUGGCUCAGUGGUUAACGAAUCCGACUAGGAACCAUGAGGUUGCGGGUUUGAUCCCUGGUCCUGCUCGGUGGGUUAAGGAUCCGGCAUUGCCGUGAGCUGUGGUGUAGGUCACAGAUGCAGUUUGGAUCCCAUGUUGCUGUGGCUCUGGCGUAGGCUGGUGGCUGCAGCUCUGAUGAGACCCCUAGCCUGGGAACCUCCAUGUGCUGCAGGUGCGGCCCUAAAAAAAAAAAAGACAG